rnacentral:lncRNA from 1 species
GGAUGACACGGCGCACGCAAAUUCCUACCAAGGUCACUGGGCGGCUGCUGCAAAAUGAGCUCUGGUUCUCUCACGACUUUCCUCAAAACCGAAACAUGAAACACGUCAUGGAAAUCUGAUAACUCUUCGGAUAAAUCCAAUCGGUAAGCAACUGCUCCAAUUCGCUCCAAAAUGGGAUAUGGUCCCAUAUAUCUCGGUUUAAGCUUCUUCAGCUUCCGAGUCUUAGAUCCUCCCUGAAAUGUCCUCAUUUUCAGGUAUACCAGGUCGCCAACCUGGAACUCCAAAUCUUUACGCCGCUUAUCUGCAUAACUCUUCUGACGGUCAUGGGCUUCCCUAAGCCGUAUCUUAAGCAUCUCAACCUGCUCAACUGUCUCUUGAACCAUUGCAGGUUCUAUCUCACGUCGCUCCCCCACUUCGGUCCAACAAAGCGGUGUGCGACAAGGCCUACCAUAAAGAGCCUCAUAUGGUGCCAUCUUAAUGCUCGAGUGAUAACUAUUAUUGUAGGCCAACUCUGUUAGGGGUAGGUACUUUGCCCAACUCCCUUCCCAAUCCAAAACACAAGCUCUAAGCAUAUCCUCCAAAGUCUGAAUCGUCCUCUCUGACUGACCGUCUGUCUGCGGGUGAUACGCCGUACUCAUAUGCACUUUCGUCCCAAGCGCCUUCUGGAAGGCUCUCCAAAACUCAGACGUGAACUUUGUAUCCCGAUCCGAUACAAUGCUGACCGGAACUCCAUGCAAUCUUACAAUCUCGCUGAUGUAAGUCUGUGCUAGCUGAUCAGCUCUGUCUGUCUUCUUAACCGCUAGAAAAUGGGCUGACUUCGUAAGUCUAUCCACGACUACCCAUAUGGCAUUCUUCCCUCCUGAUGUAGUCGGCAAACCCGUCACAAAAUCCAUAGUCACCAUGUCCCAUUUCCACUCUGGCAAUGGUAGAUUUUGCAAUAGUCCGCUGGGCACUUGAUGCUCUGCCUUAACCUUCUGACAUGUCUGGCACUGCGACACAAAAGUAGCAACAUCUUUCUUCAUACCAGGCCAAUGAUAAUAGCGCUUCAGAUCUCUGUACAUCUUGGUAUUUCCUGGAUGAAUAGAGAAACUCGAGUUGUGUGCUUGCCGUAAGAUCUCCUUUCUUAACAACUCAUCAUUGGGCACACAAACCCGGUUUCGGUACAUGAACAUCCCGCUCGAAGUUGUGUGAUAUCCAAUACUCUCGAUCUCAAUCUGCUUACGCAAAGCUUCAUCAGCAUCCUGAGCCUUACGCACUUUCCAUAACAAAUCUGCUUGCUCCACAGCCUCGAGGCCAACUGCCUCACCUUCCACGGUAGUGGCACACAAUCUGAGACUAGCAAGUGUCCCAGUAAACUCUUGAACCUCCUUAGUUCCUGAAACAAUCCUGAAUACCAUCUCUCUCCCAACGAACUUUGACCAACAUAGUCAUCAUACCAUCAUCUGCUCUCACUUGGCGAUCCAAUAGCUCUACUGGCUGACACGGCGCACGCAAAUUCCUACCAAGGUCACUGGGCGGCUGCUGCAAAAUGAGCUCUGGUUCUCUCACGACUUUCCUCAAAACUGAAACAUGAAACACGUCAUGGAAAUCUGAUAACUCUUCGGAUAAAUCCAAUCGGUAAGCAACUGCUCCAAUUCGCUCCAAAAUGGGAUAUGGUCCCAUAUAUCUCGGUUUAAGCUUCUUCAGCUUCCGAGUCUUAGAUCCUCCCUGAAAUGUCCUCAUUUUCAGGUAUACCAGGUCGCCAACCUGGAACUCCAAAUCUUUACGCCGCUUAUCUGCAUAACUCUUCUGACGGUCAUGGGCUUCCCUAAGCCGCAUCUUAAGCAUCUCAACCUGCUCAACUGUCUCUUGAACCAUUGCAGGUUCUAUCUCACGUCGCUCCCCCACUUCGGUCCAACAAAGCGGUGUGCGACAAGGCCUACCAUAAAGGGCCUCAUAUGGCGCCAUCUUAAUGCUCGAGUGAUAACUAUUAUUGUAGGCAAACUCCGCUAGGGGUAGGUACUUUGCCCAACUCCCUUCCCAAUCCAAAACACAAGCUCUAAGCAUAUCCUCCAAAGUCUGAAUCGUCCUCUCUGGCUGACCGUCUGUCUGCGGGUGAUAAGCCGUACUCAUAUGCACUUUCGUCCCAAGCGCCUUCUGGAAGGCUCUCCAAAAUUCGGACGUAAACUU